UACGGAGGGCGCAAGCGUUGUUCGGAAUUACUGGGCGUAAAGCGCGUGUAGGUGGCCUGGCAAGUCGGGUGUGAAAUCCCGGAGCUCAACUCCGGAACUGCAUCCGAUACUGCCAAGCUCGAGUCUCGGAGAGGAUGGCGGAAUUUCCGGUGUAGAGGUGAAAUUCGUAGAUAUCGGAAGGAACACCAGUGGCGAAGGCGGCCGUCUGGACGAUGACUGACAAUGAGACGCGAAAGCGUGGGGAGCAAACAGG
rnacentral:rRNA from 1 species